AGCGAACGCUGGCGGCAGGCCUAACACAUGCAAGUCGAGCGGGGUUUUCGGACCUAGCGGCGGACGGGUGAGUAAUGCGUAGGAAGCUACCCGAUAGAGGGGGAUACCAGUUGGAAACGACUGUUAAUACCGCAUAAUGUCUACGGACCAAAGUGUGGGACCUUCGGGCCACAUGCUAUCGGAUGCGCCUACGUGGGAUUAGCUAGUUGGUGGGGUAAUGGCUCACCAAGGCGACGAUCCCUAGCUGGGUUGAGAGGAUGAUCAGCCACACUGGAACUGAGACACGGUCCAGACUCCUACGGGAGGCAGCAGUGGGGAAUAUUGGACAAUGGGCGCAAGCCUGAUCCAGCCAUGCCGCGUGUGUGAAGAAGGCCUUCGGGUUGUAAAGCACUUUCAGUAGGGAGGAAGGGUGUUGUGUUAAUAGCACAGCAUUUUGACGUUACCUACAGAAGAAGCACCGGCUAACUCUGUGCCAGCCGCCGCAGUAAUAC
rnacentral:rRNA from 1 species